rnacentral:rRNA from 1 species
GGAUUAGAUACCCUGGUAGUCCACGCCGUAAACUAUGAUUACUCGAUUUAUAUACUUUUGUAUGUGAGUCCAAGCGAAAGCGUUAAGUAAUCCACCUGGGAAGUACGGUCGCAAGACUGAAACUCAAAGGAAUUGGCGGGGGUCCGCACAAGCGGUGGAGCAUGUGGUUUAAUUCGAUGAUAAGCGAGGAACCUUACCUGGGCUCUAAUGUAUGUGGACAGUCUCCGAAAAGAGAUUUCCCUUCGGGGUCGCAUACAAGGUGCUGCAUGGUUGUCGUCAGCUCGUGUUG